UUGGAUCCGACUGCCGUCGGCUUUCUGUCCCAUCAAUCUUAAUUAUCCUUUCACCCGGAUGCACCCACCAUGUUUCGCUGACCAAGUUGCAGUGAUUCUUCUUGGGCGAAUAUUUGUGAGCAUGAUCAACGUAAAGUCUUGCAGUGAGGUUGCACUCGACCAAUAUGUUCCUAUGAUCAAAAUCUCUGCAUAGCGUUGAUGCAUAUUCUGCACAAAAAUAUAAAGAUCAACUGCUUUAAUGCGUUGAACACAUGCGACCACAAUAUUAUAGAAUUUAUGCUUAAUGAAUGCAAUUUAACACAUUCUAUCAAUACAAUCCAACAUUGUUUAAGAACUUAGCACUAUGAUAACGUGCAUUCCACCCCGUUAUCAAUAGCAAAGAAGAUGGAUUGAACUAAUCAAAGACUAUGACUACUCAAUUGAGUACCACCUUGGUAAGGAAAAUGUUGUAGCUGAUGCAUUGAGCAGGAAAUCCUUGGGAUCCAAAGUAGUCCUUGGAUCGGUAUCAGGAAUGUUACUCCAGGAGUUCAGGAGUUCUACGGUCACUCUAUCAGUAAGUCAGUCAGUUGGAUUGAUUACUAGAUUUCAGGUAAGACCUAUUUUGAUGGAAGAUCUUAAGCAUGAAUAGUUGAAGGAUCCUAAUCUCCAGAAGCUUGCAGAAGAAGCGAGCAAGAGAAUAAGGACUGAUUUUUAGUUAGGAGUAGAUGAAAUUUGGUAAAGAAAGGAGGAAUGUGUGUGCCUAACGUGUUGCAGCUUAAGCAAGCUAUUCUAGAAUAGGUGCACAGUUCUGCUUACUCCAUGCAUCCAAGAAACACCAAGAUGUAUAGAACUUUGAAGAGAUCGUAAUGGUGGCGUACAAUGAGGAAAGGCAUAGCUAAGUAUGUAGACCGAUGUUUGAUUUUUCAACAAGUGAAACCUGGAAAGCAGAGGCCGGCAGGAUUACUCAAUCCACUAUCGGUACCUGAGUGGAAGUCGGGAGUCACGCAGGUAAACAUAGACUUUUCACUAGAAAUAGAAUGUGUAGUAGGUUUUCUCAGAGGUUGGUGGCAAAUGUGAAGUCUAUUCUAGUGAAUUCAGAGGAAAUGGUGUAAUCUAUGGGAAGUCCUAGUCAGAUUAAUCCUAAGAGGAGGGAAAAGAUGAGCAACAGUGAGCUUGAAAUGUACCAGGGGUACAUUGAGUAUAAAAAUAAGGAACAAAAUGGUCAGCAGAAGACAAAAAGGAAAAGGUCUAGAUUUUUUGAUGUUCCAGGUAAUAGCUCGAAGUUUGAAUUGUGACUGAGCUAAGGACUAGAACAGUUGAGAAAAACCUUAUGUAUACAGUAUGGUAAGCCAUAGUUGGAAAAUGUUAUAGUAGAAAGAAUGUCUUCUCCCAAGUACGGAUAGAAAGGACAUACUAAGAAGAGUGCCCUCGGUUAGGUCGAGGUCGAGAAGUCUAGUUGACACAAAUAUUGAUUUCACAACUAGUAAGAAAUUCAAAGGUAUGACAACUGGAAAAGAAUGUUCUAGUGGUAUUACUGGGGAAUGGAAAAGGACUACCCUAGUAAUAAAUGAAUACUAUGACUCAGUGGAGAAUGAAAGAGUCACCAGAGGAUGUGACAAAUACAGAGAACUAUGAUGACCAAGUUGUUCAUACGUACUAGUAUUAUUUAAUAUGAACAAAUUUAAUAUCAGAGUAGUGCAUCGAAAGCGUAGUAAAAAAAAAAAAGGAAGAAGAAAGAAAAGAAGAAGGUUGUAAAGUUUACGACCAAAGGAUGUUGUGAAACUCUAAGUUAUAAGUAAGUCCGAGCAAAUUUCGAGGAUGACAUUUCUUUUAGGGGGGAGGAAUUUGUAAAAUCGGAACCCUAAUUACUUUAAGUAAGAGUAAGUAAUGUGAUGUCUUCUAAUGAGCUAAAUGAAGCCAUUCUUAGGAAGGACAGAAGAUGGAAGCAAGAAGAAAUAAGCUCUUGAGUAGCUAAGUGUAAAAGUAGGACAAAACUCGACUACGCUAAGGAAGGUCAUGCUUGAUGAUGGAAUGCGUAAUAAGCAUAUGGAUUAGACCAUGCCAUCUAAUGAGGUGCAGUGUUGAAGUAAUAUUGUGAGUGAAGUUAGCAAAAGAAAAUUUGCUAAAUCCUAGCCUUUCAUCACCAAGAGUGGGCAAGGUGGCACAAGGAGGGUUCAUGCUGGAUUUUGAGUAGUGAUAUAAACAAGAAGGUCAAAUUCAUUGGGUUAGUUUGGAUAAAUUACAUAGGCUAUUUGUGUAAUUUCAGUGGCAUUCGAAAGCUCUAUGUGUCUAUUUUUUGUGGCUAUGCUAUUGAAGGGAAAAACUCAUUGGAAUAAGGCUGGAGGUGCAAAAUAAAGACAAAGGGUUCGUUUCUGGUGUGAAUCUAGGCCAUGAGGGAAGAAUUAAAGCUCCAGGAUGAAUUACGAAGCAUUUUGAGCUAAAAAUUUGAGGUAAUAUUUUUAACUCAGUUAUAAAAAACUUUAUAGAAUUAAACAUUUUAAGAUGAGGCCUGGAAAUCGAGUUAUAUAUUUUUGAAGUUUGAACUGGAAAUUGUUGAACAAGCAGGCAGCUGCUUGAAUUGGUGCCAAUGAUGAAUGUUUGAAUCUCUAGAUCAAACGACGGAGAGUUUUUAGCUGAAAUUUUAAGGUAAUGUUGCUAACUAAAUUGUAAAUAAGUUUGUAGAAAGAGAGCGAGAUAAACCGUUAAGAGCAAAGAAAUUUCGAUCAGGAUGAUAAUCUCGCUAAUUUUUGUGCUAAAUCUCACUCAAGAAGGAAAUCUCGUUGGAAACUUGGGCUGAAUCUCGUUGGUGAGGAAGCAAAGCUUGCUAGAAGAGGCCAAGAAAAGCUAGGAGAGACGUAUAAACCGUUAAGAGCCUCGAUGAACUUUAUACGACGGAUACUGAGGACAAUGAGAAGGUAUCCUAAGGAUACUGAAGGACAAUGAGAAGGUAUCCUAGUUAAAUACCUAAGGUAUGACGAUACUCAGUUAUAAGCACGUGCACGUAAGUGAUACGACAUCGAGGGAUUGAGCAAGGUAGUGGUCAGUUCCCAAAAGACUUUUCUGCUGUUGCUCUGCCACUCAAAGAAACAGGUUGA